GUUAUUUUGGCAGAAAAGUGCGUUAGAUUUAGAAUCUUUUUAUGUAAGUUUAUUACAAAUAGUA
rnacentral:tRNA from 1 species